rnacentral:rRNA from 1 species
GGCGGACGGGUGAGUAACGCGUAGGAAUCUACCUAAUAGUGGGGGAUAGCCCAGGGAAACUUGGAUUAAUACCGCAUACGCCCUAAGGGGGAAAGCGGGGGAUCUUCGGACCUCGUGCUAUUAGAUGAGCCUGCGUAAGAUUAGCUAGUUGGUGAGGUAAGAGCUCACCAAGGCGACGAUCUUUAGCUGGUCUGAGAGGAUGAUCAGCCACACUGGGACUGAGACACGGCCCAGACUCCUACGGGAGGCAGCAGUGGGGAAUAUUGGACAAUGGGGGCAACCCUGAUCCAGCCAUGCCGCGUGUGUGAAGAAGGCCUUCGGGUUGUAAAGCACUUUCAGAUGUGAGGAAAGGUUGCAGAUUAAUACUCUGUAGCUGUGACGUUAACAUCAGAAGAAGGACCGGCUAACUCCGUGCCAGCAGCCGCGGUAAUACGGAGGGUCCGAGCGUUAAUCGGAAAUACUGGGCGUAAAGCGCGC